rnacentral:rRNA from 1 species
GCAAGUCCAGCGGACGGAUGGGAGCUUGCUCCCUGAAGUCAGCGGCGGACGGGUGAGUAACACGUGGGCAACCUGCCUGUAAGACUGGGAUAACUCCGGGAAACCGGGGCUAAUACCGGAUAACUCUUUUCCUCACAUGAGGAAAAGCUGAAAGAUGGUUUCGGCUAUCACUUACAGAUGGGCCCGCGGCGCAUUAGCUAGUUGGUGAGGUAACGGCUCACCAAGGCCACGAUGCGUAGCCGACCUGAGAGGGUGAUCGGCCACACUGGGACUGAGACACGGCCCAGACUCCUACGGGAGGCAGCAGUAGGGAAUCUUCCGCAAUGGACGAAAGUCUGACGGAGCAACGCCGCGUGAGUGAUGAAGGUUUUCGGAUCGUAAAACUCUGUUGUCAGGGAAGAACAAGUACCGGAGUAACUGCCGGUACCUUGACGGUACCUGACCAGAAAGCCACGGCUAACUACGUGCCAGCAGCCGCGGUAAUACGUAUGUGGCAAGCGUUGUCCGGAAUUAUUGGGCGUAAAGCGCGCGCAGGCGG